CAAAGUAUAGCUUAACUAAAGCACCCGGCUUACACCCGGAAGAUCUCAAAUAAACUGAUUACUUUGA
rnacentral:tRNA from 1 species